AGUUUGUUGUUGUUGUUGUUGUUGUUUAGUCGUUUAGUCAUGUCCGACUCUUCGUGACCCCCUGGACCAGAGCACGCCAGGCACUCCUGUCUUCCACUGCCUCCCGCAGUUUGGUCAAACUCACGCUGGUAGCUUCGAGAACACUGUCCCACCAUCUCAUCCUCUGUCGAGAUUCUAAGUUUAGGAAUCUCUGUCUCCAGCCACAUGACACAAUACAUGCAAACAAUAAAUAUCAUUGCUAUAAAACUGCCUAGUCUUUUUAUAUAAUCUCUUCAUUGGCCAAAUCCAGAUAAAACACUAAGCACUUGUGGUUUGUCUCUCUCCAAACAAGCUAAAAUGCAUAUUAGGGGGAAAUGCUUCCAGAAAUGCGUAUAUUAGCAAAAAUGCAUAUAAAAAUCUGUGUCAUAGAAAAAAUAUGCAUUAAAAUGCUUUUGAAUUUGUAUGAGGACUUAAAUACAAUUAGGAUUAUUAACACAAGAAACAUUCUUGGACCGGUGCAAGAUGAACCAGAGCAAAAGCAUUUGCCAAUAAUGUUUUCAUUAAUCAAGAACGAAAGUCGGAGGUUUGAAGAAGAUCAGAUACCAUCAUAGUUCCGACCAUAAACGAUGCUGACUAGCGAUCCAGU